rnacentral:rRNA from 1 species
GCUUACGGCCAUACCACCCUGAAAACGCCCGAUCUCGUCUGAUCUCUAAAGCUAAGCAGGGUCGGGCCUGGUUAGUACUUGGAUCGGAGACCGCCUGGGAAUACCAGGUGCUGUAAGCU